AAGAGCUUCGAGUAGGCUCGUCGACGGCUGCUCCCACCUCGAUGGCCCGCCAACCGUUCGACAGAAUGCAGGAGAGGACCAUCUUCUCGUGGAACGCCCUCUCGAAGACCAUCUUCUUGAGGUAAAGAGAUUGUUCCAAUCGAUGCCCCGGGAACUAUAAUUGCAUGUCAACUAACGUGGGGUGUUCUCCUAGAAGCAAGCUGAAUCCACUGCAAAUGUCGAGCUUGCUAAGGAGAGAGCAUGCGUCCGUCCCCGUGAGCUUCAGUCAGUGAAUGCAGGGACACCCAAGAUGUGGGAAUAGGUGACUGGAGCGAACAAGCUUUCGGAAUCCAGGGGACUGCCGAAGGUGCCUGGCUGCCGCUGAAUCUUGCUGGGGCACAGCGAGAAAUUGGUCAUGCUUAAAGAACUUUCAAGGCACCGGGAGGAUGGUGUCGAAUGCUCGUCAAUGAUGAACGGGACUUAAGAGGCAGUUGACUAAUAACUGAUAGCAGCUAAGGUUUUCUUUUC
rnacentral:lncRNA from 1 species